GGGGCUCUUUCCUCCUCCUCCCAGCUGUGGGUCCUUCCUGAGGGCCCUAGGGAGGGAAGGAUGCAGAAACCGGGGCCGCGCCCCCGCCAGAGCGCUCACAGCUGGCCAGUCACCUGCCAAAGACUUCAUCAUUACGCAUUUGUGCCUCUCAAUCUUGAGAAACACCUCUUAGUUUAGACAAACGGCAGUAUAAAGAUCUAUUUAAUCCUUUUCACAAGUCAUGUCUGGAGAUAGCUUUAUUUGGAACCUCAUUUUCUGACGUUCCCCUUCCUAAAAGGCUUCUUCCAACCGCAGAAGGGAAUGAAGGGCAAUUUGUUAGCUGCAUCGCCACUUACUCUCUGCGGGGCAUGGUACUAAGGGCUUUACCCCAUUGGCCUGUUUACGGAGGAAAAAAGGGAAGCUCAGAGGAGAAGUGACUUCCCUCAAGGUCAUCGAGCUGCCAACUGGUAGUGCGGAGAUUCAAACUCAAGGCUGGCUUCAUGCGGGACAGGACCAGCUGGUGAUUCAGCAGUCCUGCUACAGCAAAUCAAGCCCUUUAAAGGAAUCAUGUGUCUUAGCUAUGUAGACAAGACUUUCCCAGCCUAAUUUCUUAUAGAACACAGGAAGGACAGUCCAUGGGUGCCCCUCCCCCCCACACACACACACUGGGCUGGGCCCUCCCCCAUCAAUCACGGAUUAAGAAGAUGCUCGACAGCCUGAUCUCACGGAGGUGUUUUCUCAAGCGAGACGAGGUCUCUCACUGGACCUGGAACUUCUGAUUCACUGAGACUGGCUGACCAUUGAGCUGCAAGGAUCCUGUGAUCUGUGUCUCCCAGCUCCAGCUCUGGGCUUUAACAUGGCAUUGGAGUUCCAAACUCAAGCCAGAAGGCAAUUUAUCCUGAGCCAUUGUCUCAGGCUCCUUCUCCUUCUCUUCUUCUCAUUCUCCAGCUUCUUUUCCUUCCUUCCUUCCUUCCUUCCUUUUCUCCUUCCUUCCUUCCUUUUCUCCUUCCUUCCUCCCUUCCUUUUUUUCUGUGAGAUAGUGUUAUCUAGCUUCAAUCACUCUAGUGCUGGGGUUAUAGGGUAAAAUACUGUGGCCAGCUUUAACAUAAAUUAUUUUCUUGGGCUGGAGAGAUGGCCAGUAGUUUAGAGAACUGACUGCUCUUCCAGAGGUCCUGAGUUCAAAUCCCAGCAACCACAUGGUGGCUCACAACCAUCUGUAAUGGGAUCUGAUGUCCUCUUCUGCUGUGUCUGAAGACAGCUGCAGUGUACUAACAUAAAUAAAAUAAAUAAAUAAAAUUUUUUUUUCCGGAGCUGGGGACCGAACCCAGGGCCUACCACUGAGCUAAAUCCCCAACCCCUUCAAAUAAAUAAAUCUUAAAAAAAAAAAAAAAAAAAAAA